CUAUAGCAUUGAAGUCAGACUCUGUACCAUCGGAGUUAGAUUAAAAUAAGCUGUAAACAGCUAGUUGUUACCUAAUCAAAGUUUUUGAACUGUCACAUGACCUUAAGUAGGUUACAGGUUUUUAAAAAAUAAUUAAUUCAUUAGGCUGCUCUGGGUCUUAGUUGCAGCAUGUGGGAUCUAGUUCCCGGACAAGGGAGGGAACCCUGGCCCAGUGCCUUGUUGAGUUCCGAGUCUUAACCACUGAACCACCAGGGAAGUCCCUCAACUUUUUAAAAUUAGAGUGUAUUUUAACUGAUUAGAGAGGCCUUUUAACAGAAAUUAUCAGCGGUGAGUUUCCUUGUAGUUUAGAAAAUGUUUUGGAUUGAUUUUUUUGUUAGGUAAGAAUAUAAUUGAAAUAGAAUUGUUUGCUGAAAUAAAAAAAGCCGAAUAUGAGAUCUGUGAGUUUCAGGUUUGUUUAGAGCCUUACUGAGGACGGCAGCCUGGGAGACAGCCUCUCAGAUUGUUCUGAGAACUCCUCUGCCUAGGUAAGAGAUUUGAUCUGCUUAUGUGUAGUUGGUGAUGGACAGGGACGCCUGGCAUGUUGCAAUCCAUGGGGUCACAAAGAGUCAGGACACGACUAAAUGAUUGAACUGAACUGAACUGAACUGAUAUGGAGAAAAAUAAUCACUGCAGAUUGUGACUGCAGUCAUGAAAUUAAAAAACACUCCUUGGAAGGAAAGUUAUGACCAACCUAGACAGCAUAUUAAAAAGCAGACACUACUUUGCCAACAAAGGUCCAUCUCGUUAAAGCUAUGGUUUUCCCAGUAAUCAUGUAUGGAUGUGAGAGUUGGACAAUAAAGAAAGCUGAGCACUGAUAAAUUGAUGCUUUUGAACCAUGGUGUUGGAGAACACUCUUGAGAAACCCUUGAACUGCAAGGAGAUCCAACUAGUCCAUCCUAAAGGAGAUCAGACAUGAGUGUUCAUUGGUAGGACUGAUGUUGAAACUGAUACUCCAGUACUUUGGCCACCUGAUGUGAAGAGCUGACUCAUUUGAAAAGACCCUAAUGCUGGGAAAUAUUGAGGACAGGAGGAGAAGGGGAUGACAGAGGACGAGAUGGUUGGAUGGCAUCACCGAAUCAUUGGACACGGGUUUGGGUGGACUCUGGGAGUUGGUGUUGGACAGGGAGGACUGGCGUGCUGUGGUUCAUGGGGUUGCAGAGAGUAGGACAUGACUGAGCGACUGAACUGAACUGAAUAAUGGAAUCAAUGUAGACUUUUUUUAUAUCGGCUACAUGAUUUUAUUUUUUUAAAUUUAUUUUUGGCUGCACUGGGUCUUUGUGGCUGCUUAAGAGCUUUCUCUAGUUGCAGAAAGCAGAGACUACUCUCUAGUUGUGGUGCUCAGGCUUCUUUUGCAGUGGCUUCUUGUUACGAAGCCCACAGUCUAGGCUUAUGGGUUUUAGAAGUUGCAGCAUACGGGGUCUGUAGUUGUGGUACAGGAGUUUAGUUGCUCGGCAGCAUGUGAAAUCUAAUGGACCAGCAAGCAGACCCAUGUUCCCUGUACUGGCAGGGUGGAUUCCUCUCCACAGUACCACCAGGGAAGUCCCUGUUAGAUGAUUUUUUAUUUUUUUGAAUUGCAGCUCAUGAUGCUUUGAGCUGUUUGAACUCAUGCUAAAAUGAUCCUAAUAUUUUUGAAAUCAGAUAUCCAGAGAGCUAAUUUAUAUUAAGAAAACCAUUAACAUUGAGUUGAAAUUAACACCUAUCUGCCCAUGUUUUUAGAUGGUGGUGUUUUU